GUACCCGCUGAACUUAAGCAUAUCAAUAAGCGGAGGAAAAGAAACCAACAGGGAUUGCCCUAGUAACGGCGAGUGAAGCGGCAACAGCUCAAAUUUGAAAUCUGGCUCUUUCAGGGUCCGAGUUGUAAUUUGCAGAGGGCGCUUUGGCUUUGGCAGCGGUCCAAGUUCCUUGGAACAGGACGUCACAGAGGGUGAGAAUCCCGUACGUGGUCGCUAGCUAUUGCCGUGUAAAGCCCCUUCGACGAGUCGAGUUGUUUGGGAAUGCAGCUCUAAAUGGGAGGUAAAUUUCUUCUAAAGCUAAAUACUGGCCAGAGACCGAUAGCGCACAAGUAGAGUGAUCGAAAGAUGAAAAGCACUUUGGAAAGAGAGUCAAACAGCACGUGAAAUUGUUGAAAGGGAAGCGCUUGCAGCCAGACUUGCUUGCAGUUGCUCAUCCGGGCUUUUGCCCGGUGCACUCUUCUGCAGGCAGGCCAGCAUCAGUUUGGGCGGUGGGAUAAAGGUCUCUGUCACGUACCUCUCUUCGGGGAGGCCUUAUAGGGGAGACGACAUACCACCAGCCUGGACUGAGGUCCGCGCAUUCGCUAGGAUGCUGGCGUAAUGGCUGUAAGCGGCCCGUCUUGAAACACGGACCAAGGAGUCUAACAUCUAUGCGAGUGUUUGGGUGUCAAGCCCGAACGCGUAAUGAAAGUGAACGGAGGUGGGAACCCGCAAGGGUGCACCAUCGACCGAUCCUGAUGUCUUCGGAAGGAUUUGAGUAAGAGCAUGGCUGUUGGGACCCGAAAGAUGGUGAACUAUGCUUGAAUAGGGUGAAGCCAGAGGAAACUCUGGUGGAGGCUCGCAGCGGUUCUGACGUGCAAAUCGAUCGUCAAAUUUGGGCAUAGGGGCGAAAGACUAAUCGAACUAUCUAGUAGCUGGUUCCUGCCGAAGUUUCCCUCAGGAU
rnacentral:rRNA from 1 species